rnacentral:rRNA from 1 species
AACGCUGAAGGAGGAGCUUGCUUCUCUGGAUGAGUUGCGAACGGGUGAGUAACGCGUAGGUAACCUGCCUGGUAGCGGGGGAUAACUAUUGGAAACGAUAGCUAAUACCGCAUAAGAGUAGAUGUUGCAUGACAUUUGCUUAAAAGGUGCAAUUGCAUCACUACCAGAUGGACCUGCGUUGUAUUAGCUAGUUGGUGAGGUAACGGCUCACCAAGGCAACGAUACAUAGCCGACCUGAGAGGGUGUUCGGCCACACUGGGACUGAGACACGGCCCAGACUCCUACGGGAGGCAGCAGUAGGGAAUCUUCGGCAAUGGACGGAAGUCUGACCGAGCAACGCCGCGUGAGUGAAGAAGGUUUUCGGAUCGUAAAGCUCUGUUGUAAGAGAAGAACGAGUGUGAGAGUGGAAAGUUCACACUGUGACGGUAUCUUACCAGAAAGGGACGGCUAACUACGUGCCAGCAGCCGCGGUAAUACGUAGGUCCCGAGCGUUGUCCGGAUUUAUUGGGCGUAAAGCGAGCGCAGGCGGUUAGAUAAGUCUGAAGUUAAAGGCUGUGGCUUAACCAUAGUACGCUUUGGAAACUGUUUAACUUGAGUGCAAGAGGGGAGAGUGGAAUUCCAUGUGUAGCGGUGAAAUGCGUAGAUAUAUGGAGGAACACCGGUGGCGAAAGCGGCUCUCUGGCUU